rnacentral:rRNA from 1 species
UGGCCGUAAACGAUGUGGACUUGGUGUUGGAAUGGCUUCGAGUUGUUCCAGUGCCGAAGGGAAGCUGUUAAGUCCACCGCCUGGGAAGUACGGUCGCAAGACUGAAACCUAAAGGAAUUGGCGGGGGGAGCACCACAACGCGUGGAGCCUGCGGUUUAAUUGGAUUCAACGCCGGACAUCUCACCAGGAGCGACAGCAGAAUGAUAAUCAGGUUGAUGACCUUAUUUGACUAGCUGAGAGGUGGUGCAUGGCGUCAGUGACU